rnacentral:sRNA from 1 species
AUGUACCCCCUUACACUCCGGUCCCUCCGCGCCGGCCGCACCCGCCUGACAACAACUGCUCGCUACGUUUUAUUAGCU